AUGAAGGCAAGGAAAAGAAAGCAAAUUAUGUUAGCAGUGCUAGACACUGCUGCACAUGGAUGGGAGCUAGGGGAGAGGAAGAACAGGAGCAGUGCUUUGAAUCAGCUAGAACUGAUUGCAUGUAGAGCUAUCAGGACUUUCCCAGUGUCUACAGAUGUGCAGCAAACCAAAUCACCAGAAUAUGAUUAUUUUUGUCCUAUCCAAGUUUAUCAUUUGAGAAAACAAAGGAGAAGAAGAACAGAAAUGUUAAGGGUUUCAGAGAAUACCUUUGAAGCUGAGAAGAACAUUCUUCCUAACAUCAGUGUCACCAUGGAACAAUUCCUGGAGUUGACCCUAGCACCCUCUUCUGUCAUAACCUAUUCAGGAGAAAAGGAGGUAAAGAUCUUCUGA
rnacentral:lncRNA from 1 species